UGCGUCCAUGGAGGAAUUUCCUUUUCUGCAGUCGGGCCGUAGUUCAGAAGGAGAUUUAACCACAGUUCAACGAGGAACAUGAAACAUGGUCAGCGAGGAACCACAGUGACCUGACAUGAAGGGAAACUUUCCUCUAAUUUCUUCAGCUCCAAGACGGCCCCCAAUUCCUGUGUCUCUGACAUCUUUGAGAUCCUUGUGAUUGUUGCUAUUGAAGCCCAUCAGUGGGGUAUGUUACCACCGGAUGGCAUAUGAUACCCUGGUUUCAUGGAGCCCUGCUUGCCAAAUGGAAGAAAGGAACCAAUGCUGACUGGAGAUCUCACUGGAUGCUUUUCCACCAACUUUUUGUUCAGCC
rnacentral:lncRNA from 1 species